rnacentral:rRNA from 1 species
AUUGAACGCUGGCGGCAGGCCUAACACAUGCAAGUCGAACGAGUGGCGGACGGGUGAGUAAUGUCUGGGAAACUGCCUGAUGGAGGGGGAUAACUACUGGAAACGGUAGCUAAUACCGCAUACCAUCGGAUGUGCCCAGAUGGGAGUAGCUAGUAGGUGGGGUAACGGCUAACCUAGGCGACGCUCCCUAGCUGGUCUGAGAGGAUGACCAGCAACACUGUAACUGAGACACGGUCCAGACGCCUACGUGAGGCAGCAGUGUGGAAUAUUGCACAAUGGGCGCAAGCCUGAGGCAGCCAUGCCGCGUGUAUGAAGAAGGCCUUCGGGUUGUAAAGUACUUUCAGCGGGGAGGCGUUACCCGCAGAAGAAGCACCGGCUAACUCCGUGCCAGCAGCCGCGGUAAUAC